AUUGAACGCUGGCGGCAGGCCUAACACAUGCAAGUCGAGCGAGCGGCGGACGGGUGAGUCAUGUCUGGGAAACUGCCUGAUGGAGGGGGAUAACUACUGGAAACGGUAGCUAAUACCGCAUACCAUCAGAUGUGCCCAGAUUGGAUUAGCUAGUAGGUGGGGUAAUGGCUUACCUAGGCGACGAUCCCUAGCUGGUCUGAGAGGAUGACCCGCCACACUGGAACUGAGACACGGUCCAGACUCCUACGGGAGGCAGCAGUGGGGAAUAUUGCGCAAUGGGCGAAAGCCUGACGGAGCCAUGCCGCGUGAGUGAAGAAGGCCUUCGGGUUGUAAAGCACUUUUAGCGGGGAGGCGGUACUCGCACAAGAAGCACCGGCUAACUACGUGCCAGCAGCCGCGGUAAUAC
rnacentral:rRNA from 1 species